CUUAAACUCUGAGCGCGCAAGAAAUGAUGAGUUAUUGCUUAUUUACACUCAUAACCUUUGAAAUUUGAAUUGGCUUUGCGAGAAUACCUAAGACAUAUAGAAGACUCAAGACAGAAAACAUACUUGCUGCAAAGGCAACUAUAUGAGUUUAAGGGCCUACUAGGUGAAAACCCAUCAUCCCUUGCGCGCUCAGAUUUUAGGGUUCAAGGUUUUGGAAGGACAACCUUAAUUGAGUCAGCUGUAUAUAAAUAGCCGCAACUAAAGCUUGGGAAGCUAGCUGUGACCACGUAAAUGCACUAGACUUGACAGAUAUUAAGUUAUACUUACCUUUCAUUGAUAAAGAAAGAAUUACCGUUCAUUGGUUGGUAUAAACAAGCAUGCGUUAUACGCGGUUACUGAUGCAUGCUUGUGCUUUCGUGGCGUGCACAAAAGAAUCAGGGC